GACGAACGCUGGCGGCGUGCUUAACACAUGCAAGUCGAGCGGUAAGGCCCUUUCGGGGGUACACGAGCGGCGAACGGGUGAGUAACACGUGGGUGACCUGCCCUCAGCUCUGGGAUAAGCCUGGGAAACCGGGUCUAAUACUGGAUAUGACUCCAUGACGCAUGUUGUGGGGUGGAAAGCCUUGUGCGGCUGAGGAUGGGCCCGCGGCCUAUCAGCUUGUUGGUGGGGUGAUGGCCUACCAAGGCGACGACGGGUAGCCGGCCUGAGAGGGCGACCGGCCACACUGGGACUGAGACACGGCCCAGACUCCUACGGGAGGCAGCAGUGGGGAAUCUUGCGCAAUGGGCGAAAGCCUGACGCAGCCAUGCCGCGUGAAUGAUGAAGGUCUUAGGAUUGUAAAGUUCUUUCGCCCGUGACGAUGAUGAC
rnacentral:rRNA from 1 species